UACGUAGGGUGCAAGCGUUUGUCCGGAAUUAUUGGGCGUAAAGAGCUCGUAGGCGGUUUGUCGCGUCUGCUGUGAAAACGCGAGGCUCAACCUCGCGCCUGCAGUGGGUACGGGCAGACUAGAGUGCGGUAGGGGAGAUUGGAAUUCCUGGUGUAGCGGUGGAAUGCGCAGAUAUCAGGAAGAACACCCGUGGCGAAAGCGGCUCUCUGGAACGGUACUGACGCUGAGACGCGAAAGCGUGGGGAGCGAACAGG
rnacentral:rRNA from 1 species